rnacentral:lncRNA from 1 species
AGAUUCAUUGGGACUCACAAAGACAUGAAAGACGAAAGGAGAAUUCGAGAGGAGCAAGAGAGGGCAAAGGCUUCAGCUUCCUGCCUGUUUCGGAUGGUGCUGGGCCAAGGGAAAUGGAAUUUAAAGCAGCAGUAUUACACAGGAUACAUGGAGAGUGAAAGACUGGAAGUCAUGCAGCACAUGGUCAAGAACAUUGUGAGAGUCAAUGAAAGCCUCACCGACUUCCUCAGUCAAGUGUGUCAGCAGCAGACUCCUGAAGAUGAGGACCCCUCACUUGAACUCCAAAACCAUCAAAGACCUGGCUUCCCCUCUGAUGGGCAGGCCCUGGGCAGUGGGGCUUCUAUCCUGCAUCUCUUAGAUUUUGGACAUACUUAAUCUAGUUUACAUCACAAAACCUCUUCUCGGAUUAAUCCUCUGUGUAUUUGGGGAAAAAAUAAAGUUAUUGAUUUUCUUGGGUU